rnacentral:rRNA from 1 species
CCUACGGGAGGCAGCCGUGAGGAAUAUUGGUCAAUGGACGAGAGUCUGAACCAGCCAAGUAGCGUGAAGGAUGACUGCCCUAUGGGUUGUAAACUUCUUUUAUCUGGGAAUCAAAUGUUCCCCGUGUGGGAUUUUGUAUGUACCAUAUGAAUAAUGAUCGGCUAACUCCGUGCCAACAGCCGCGGUACUACGGAGGAUGCGAGGGUUAUCCGGCUUUAUUGGGUUUAAGGGGUGCGCAGGCGGCCGUUUCAGUCAGCGGUAAACGCCCGGGGCUCAACCCCGGCCAGCCGGUGAAACUGGCGGGCUGGAGUUGGAGAGAAGUACGCGGAAUGCGCGGUGUAGCGGUGAAAUGCUUAGAUAUCGCGCAGAACCCCGAUUGCGAAGGCAGCGUACCGGCGCCAAACUGACGCUGAGGCACGAAAGCGUGGGUAUCGAACAGGAUUAGAUACCCCGGUAGUC